rnacentral:rRNA from 1 species
AACGAACGCUGGCGGCGCGCCUAAUACAUGCAAGUCGAGCGAGAAGACGUAGCAAUACGUUUGUAAAGCGGCGAACGGGUGAGGAAUACAUGGGUAACCUACCCUCGAGUGGGGAAUAACUAGCCGAAAGGUUAGCCAAUACCGCGUACGCUCCUUGGACUUCGGUUCAGGGAGGAAAGCGAUACCGUGGGUAUCGCGCUCUUGGAUGGGCUCAUGUCCUAUCAGCUUGUUGGUGAGGAACGGCUCACCAAGGCUUCGACGGGUAGCUGGUCUGAGAGGACGAUCAGCCACACUGGCACUGCGACACGGGCCAGACUCCUACGGGAGGCAGCAGUAAGGAAUAUUGCGCAAUGGGCGAAAGCCUGACGCAGCGACGCCGCGUGGGGGAUGAAGGUCUUCGGAUUGUAAACCCCUUUCGGGAGGGAAGAUGGAACGAGCAAUCGUUCGGACGGUACCUCCAGAAGCAGCCACGGCUAACUUCGUGCCAGCAG